CAGUGAAAUUGAACUCGCUGUGAAGAUGCAGUGUACCCGCGGCAAGACGGAAAGACCCCGUGAACCUUUACUAUAGCUUGACACUGAACAUUGAGCCUUGAUGUGUAGGAUAGGUGGGAGGCUUUGAAGUGUGGACGCCAGUCUGCAUGGAGCCGACCUUGAAAUACCACCCUUUAAUGUUUGAUGUUCUAACGUGGGCCCCUUACCGGGGUUGCGGACAGUGUCUGGUGGGUAGUUUGACUGGGGCGGUCUCCUCCUAAAGAGUAACGGAGGAGCACGAAGGUUGGCUAAUCCUGGUCGGACAUCAGGAGGUUAGUGCAAUGGCAUAAGCCAGCUUGACUGCGAGCGUGACGGCGCGAGCAGGUGCGAAAGCAGGUCAUAGUGAUCCGGUGGUUCUGAAUGGAAGGGCCAUCGCUCAACGGAUAAAAGGUACUCCGGGGAUAACAGGCUGAUACCGCCCAAGAGUUCAUAUCGACGGCGGUGUUUGGCACCUCGAUGUCGGCUCAUCACAUCCUGGGGCUGAAGUAGGUCCCAAGGGUAUGGCUGUUCGCCAUUUAAAGUGGUACGCGAGCUGGGUUUAGAACGUCGUGAGACAGUUCGGUCCCUAUCUGCCGUGGGCGCUGGAGAACUGAGGGGGGCUGCUCCUAGUACGAGAGGACCGGAGUGGACGCAUCACUGGUGUUCGGGUUGUCAUGCCAAUGGCACUGCCCGGUAGCUAAAUGCGGAAGAGAUAAGUGCUGAAAGCAUCUAAGCACGAAACUUGCCCCGAGAUGAGUUCUCCCUGA
rnacentral:rRNA from 1 species